AGUUUCGGCCGCUAUUGCUUUGAAAGGACUCGGUGCUAUUCUAUUUGUAUUUGGCUAUGGCUUUGGAGUCUUCCUCCUGGUGAGAUUUUUGUCUACUUGUUGUUAG